rnacentral:lncRNA from 1 species
CUGUGUUAAAACCACUCAGGUUGAGCAUGGGGAAGCUCAGCCGGUACAAGUGGUAGUCAGUGUUCCCCUGACAGUAUAAUUUUUAUGGUGUUUGUUUUAUCAAACAUAAAUGUGCAACUUGACUGCCACAAACUUCCAGAAAGAAAAAAAACACAAAGAUAUCAUCGCAGAACAUAAAAUAAGAUCUUGUGUGACUUGGACUUCUCACAGAUCUUCCUUUACCUGGGCUGCUGCACUGCCAUCCUGCUCUGCAAUGCUCUAAAUCCCCUUUGAAGACGCUGAG